AUCAAAAGUGGCUCAAUGACUGUACAAUAGUACGUUGCAUAAUGAGAGCUCUAUGAUUGAUGAAUUUAAUUGUAAAUUCAUCAAUGCUCAGCCAAACGAAAUCCUUCAAAGGUUGAACAAGUCCUUUGGCACACUUGAGGAUUUAUCCUCAACAUGGCAUCGAUCCUCUAAGAGAAAAGAAAAGGAUGGUGCAGAGGUAUUGUGCUAGGGCUUCUAAGCCCAAUCGAAUUAACCAGUUUAAAGCAAAUCAAAGUUAGGUAGAAUGCUUCUUUUGCAAGAAGAUGAAGCAUUGGAAGAGAAAUUAUUCUCUAUAUCUAGCUUCCCUUAAUUCGAACAGCCCAUGUAAGAGAAAUCAGUAAGAGGUUACUGGACAAGGUACUUAUAUGAUAACACCUUAUAGUUUUUCUAUUUGUGAUACUACUAUCUGGGUAUUGGAUACUGAAAGUCUGAUUCAUAUCUAUAAUUCAUUGUAGGGACUUUAGUUUAGUAGAAAAUUUGAGAAGAGA
rnacentral:lncRNA from 1 species